rnacentral:rRNA from 1 species
UACGUAGGGCGCAAGCGUUGUCCGGAAUUAUUGGGCGUAAAGAGCUCGUAGGCGGUUUGUUGCGUCUGCUGUGAAAACCUAAGGCUCAACCUUGGGCUUGCAGUGGGUACGGGCAGACUAGAGUGCGGUAGGGGUGACUGGAAUUCCUGGUGUAGCGGUGGAAUGCGCAGAUAUCAGGAGGAACACCGAUGGCGAAGGCAGGUCACUGGGCCGCAACUGACGCUGAGGAGCGAAAGCAUGGGGAGCGAACAGG